UUUCCGUAGGUGAACCUGCGGAAGGAUCAUUAAAAAAAGAGAAACGUCCCGUUCUUUUUCAUAAAAAUGGGUUCUAUUCCCUUAAACCGUGUCUACAUACCUUUGUUGCUUUGGCAGGCCGCCUUCGGGCGUCGGCUCCGGCUGAUAGUGCCUGCCAGAGGACCCAAACUCUAUGUUUAGUGAUGUCUGAGUACUAUAUAAUAUUUAAAACUUUCAACAACGGAUCUCUUGGUUCUG
rnacentral:misc_RNA from 1 species